rnacentral:lncRNA from 1 species
UAUCUAGUCUUGUAGGCAUAUGAAUGCACAACAAGGGAUCUCUAACUUUCCAUGGUGGAAGGAGAAUACUCUAAGAUAUGAUUCGUAAGUCUUUGGCCAAAGCAAAUGAAUAUGACAUAGGAAGUUUGUUCCAAUUCAUAUUCAAAGGAAUCAUAUAGAAAAGUAUCACAUUAGAUAGUAGACAUGAAACAAACUAUCACUUAAACAAUGUGAUUAAGAGUAUUGUAUUAGAGAAGGACCGUAUUGCUUUGUAGUUGUAACUGGAUAGGUUCUCCAACCAAUUCUAAUUUGCUUGGGUAACCAUGACAUACUGCUAGGUGUCACUCAUGGUUUGUGGAAGCCCUAAUUGUUGGAAAUGUGCCCUAAAGCCAAUCAUGUGAUGAUACUUUAAGGACAUUUCACAUGUUAAACUAAUCUAGUUUUACAUAUAAAGGGCAUACAU